AGAAAUUUUAAUAUUUCAGUUUCGACCCCGUUUGGUCAUCGAAAACUGUACCGAACUGUAAUCUUUAUCAGAUAACUGUCGGAUUUUAUUUUCCACCUUCCGGGUCUCAGAAUGGCAUGAAACUUUAAAUCUAGCCUAAUAAAAAUAAUUCUGACUUAUCCCCCAGUUUUUAUAAUUCUCUGACACUGUGCAUUUUCUGCUAAUUUAUCUGUCCCGUUUCUAGCAGAAAAUUCUAAAUCUUCUGUUUUCAUUCCGAUUUCAGCACAAAUCAUUUCUGACUUAUGUUUUACUUCUCUAAAUCCAAUAAAAAUAGUAUCUCACACUAUUUUUAUUUAUUUUUAUUUUUAUACCAAAAUCUGGUAUGUUACAGUUUAU
rnacentral:lncRNA from 1 species